GAUGAACGCUGGCGGCGUGCCUAAUACAUGCAAGUCGAGCGAACGGACGAGAAGCUUGCUUUUCUGAUGUUAGCGGCGGACGGGUGAGUAACACGUGGAUAACCUACCUAUAAGACUGGGAUAACUUCGGGAAACCGGAGCUAAUACCGGAUAAUAUUUUGAACCGCAUGGUUCAAAAGUGAAAGACGGUCUUGCUGUCACUUAUAGAUGGAUCCGCGCUGCAUUAGCUAGUUGGUAAGGUAACGGCUUACCAAGGCAACGAUGCAUAGCCGACCUGAGAGGCGGAUCGGCCACACUGGAACUGAGACACGGUCCAGACUCCUACGGGAGGCAGCAGUAGGGAAUCUUCCGCAAUGGGCGAAAGCCUGACGGAGCAACGCCGCGUGAGUGAUGAAGGUCUUCGGAUCGUAAAACUCUGUUAUUAGGGAAGAACAUAUGUGUAAGUAACUGUGCACAUCUUGACGGUACCUAAUCAGAAAGCCACGGCUAACUACGUG
rnacentral:rRNA from 1 species